GAAAAAUACACGAUUUGUCUGCAAAGUAAACGACUGAUUUUCUUCGGCUGCGUCUGUACUUCGGAGCGUCCGCGCACCGACUCGAUUCCGUAGAUUGCGUUCCUAGCUAACGAACGAGCGGCUGGGUCAGUUGUCUCCGAGCACCUGGAGAGUCAGGGCAAUAUUUUCGCACGACGUGUUUUUGUGAGUGCUGCAGGCCGAAAAUGCAACGUUCGCUUCAGCAGAGAUACGCGAUUAAAUCCUGUGUAAAACUCGGUCAAUCUGCGACAGAGACAUUUGAUAUGAUCAAGCAAGCAUACCCAGAUGGUUGGUGAUGCGAAUAUAUAGCCUAUCUCUCCCAAACGUCAACCCCACCUUCAAGCGGAACCCUCUGUUCACUACGAACGAGACUUUGAUAACCGAGUAAAGGCAGUGUAACCUUAGCACCUGUGAGAAGGAAACUCCUACGCCAUUGCCUGCCUAGAGGCGAAACCGGCAGCCCCGGAACUAGGCUCGGAUGCAGAAGUCUAAUCACCUUCUCAUCUUAAACCCUCUGAUUACCGAAACCGAAGUAAAGAUUAAACACGAUAAAUUGAUGACGCCCUUCAGCAUGAAAAAUGGAUUACGAAUAGGGACCUGGAAUGUAAGUUCAUUUUUAGAACCAAUUAAACUACCGCAACUUUAUAAAGAAUUUAAACGCUACUCGUUCUUUUUGGUCUGUUCGAGGUUAGAUGGACCGACUCGGGCGAAGUUACAACUAUUUCUGGCGAAAAAUAAAUUUUCUCUGGAAAAAAAGCCCACUCAAAGAGAAUUUGUCGGAUUUCUUCUUGAAACCUCACUCGGAUAGAAUCAUCUCAGUGAGGCUGCGCACAAGAGCCAGAAACAUGACUAUAGUACAAAGCUGUGUUCCAAGGAAUGUAGCAGAAGUGGAAGUUAAGAAAGCCUUUUAUAGUUGCCUCACAAAAGUAAUGAGUGAAAUCAAUAAGGGUGACACAGUCAUCUUAAUGAGUGAUAUGAAUGUCCAAGAUGAUCAUCACAUUAAGGGGUUAGAGGCGACGUUGGGCCGACACGGGUUAGGCAUGAUGACUGAGAAUGGCGAGAUGUUCACCGAACUUCGCGCUAAUUUUAAUCUUGUUAUAGGAGGAGCACUAUUCAAUCAUAAGCGCGUCCACAAAAUAACUUGGAAACAAUAAGACGUAAAUGGCGCGGUUCCCUUAUGGACACACAGAAUAAACCUGAAGCUGAUAUUGCAAGUGACCAUCAUCUUCUAAUUGCGUCAGUCAGACUCAAAGUGGCUGCAGUUAGCGGUUCGAAAAAAAAAGAUACAGAAAUUCGACGUAAACUGAAAGUCGAAUCUACCUUCGCAAGGUUUAUCGAAUCGCUAAUUGCAUCUGUCGAAACAGAACACACUCUGACUAACGACUGGAAAAGUAUAAAACAAACUUUUCUAAAAGCGGAAGAUUGUAUUGGAUUCAAAGAACAUAAACGAAAAUCCUGGAUUUCCGACUCCACAUGACUGUUAAUAAACGAACGCAGAGAAAUAAAAAAAUCAGUUAAAUUCUGAUAAGACGAGAUCCGCCAAGGCGGCACUACAGCACACUUACAGCAAAACCGACAAGCUGAUACAGAAAAGCACUAGAACGGAUAAACGAAUCUGGAGUGACAAUUAAGCUAGAAAAGCGCAGGAGGCAGCGGAAACGUACCGCUCUCGUGACCUGUAUCAAACGAUACGCCAAAUGACAAACGCAACACUCAAAAACCGGUAAAAGAUGAAGAUGGCAAGUUAACAACGGUCAAAGAUAAGCAGACUUUGCAGAAUUGCUCUCACCAACUUCGUCGGAGACUAUUCGACCAUGCGGUUGCCAACGUCGCAUACCAAGACGUGACAUUCACACCUCGAACCCGAACGAGACGGAGAUAAUGACUACUAUCAGAGCAUUAAAGAACAACAAAACUCCUGGGCAAGAUAACAUCAACCCAGAACUCCUAAAAGCUGUUUCCUCUACUCAAAGACAUUUGGGCCUCAGAAAAGAUACCAGAGCUGAAGGAACGAACAAAGGAAAAUUUAUCGGAAUGUAAAAAUUUAAGAGGAAUAACACUACUAAGUAUGGUGAAUAAAAUAAUAACGCACAUAAUUCACAAAAGGUUAUCGGAUUCGCUGAUGCAUGGGCUAUGUAAAGAACAAGCUGGUUUUAGACCCCAUUGCUCAUGUGUCGAUCCCUUCAACACCUUACGAGUGCUCUACCUUUGCUUUAUCGAUUUUGAGAAAGCGUUUGAGUUCCGGAAAAAUUAAUUAACCUAAUAAAACUGCUGUACUCAGGAGCUAGUUGUCGAGUAAGGUGUGUGUGUUGUCGGGUAAGUAGGGGCAUCCAAGUCAGGACUGGUGUCAGACAGGGGUGCGUUCUAUCUCUCCUUUUAUCCUUGAAACUGGAAGCUGUUAGUGAUCUCGCCGCACAAACUGGACUCAAAAUCAAUAUAGCGAAGACAAAACUCAUGUGCAUCAACACAACCGAAACGCCAAACCUAAAGAUCGCGGGAACAUGUUCGAGACAGAAGUCGACGAGUUUUGCUAUUUAGGUAGCAUUAUAACUAAAAAUGGUGGAUCAGCAGCCGAUAUAAGAAAUCAUAUAUCCAAAGUUCGCGCGAUCUGGAGAUCAACACAUACAUAUAUCAAUACGUAUGAAGCUAAAAAUAUUCAACGUUGAAAUACGUUGUAUUAUACGGCUGCGAGACGCGGAAUAUUGCAGCGAAUGUUUUGCAAUCGAUGUUUUCGAAAAAUUAUCCGGAUAUUCUGGUCUAACGUUGUUAGCAAUGCUAACCUCUGGACCGUAACCAAACAACUACCGAUCUAUAUCGAAAUUCGACGUCGUAAAUGGAAAUGGAUCGGCCACACUCUGCGAAACCCUCACAACGACAUUAGCAGAACAGUGCUAGAUUGGAAUCUGAAAGGACUUCUUACAAUGCAUAAAUUGAAAACUGUUGGUUUAUUGGUUAAUUCUUAUUUUUGGGUGUGCUGAAUCGGAAAACGGCUUUAAUUUUGUCACGUUUUCUGAGAAUGUAGGUAUCUUUAUUAAAAAAGUUGUCAUCUUAAAAUAAAAGAUAAAAGACUAACAAAAUUUUAAUAUUUACAAUGGCA
rnacentral:lncRNA from 1 species